rnacentral:rRNA from 1 species
UACGUAGGCGGAAGAUUAAGUCAGUGGUGAAAUCCUGCAGCUUAACUGUAGAACUGUCAUUGAUACUGGUUUUCUUGAAUUUAGUUGAGGUAGGCGGAAUGUGUAAUGUAGCGGUGAAAUGCUUAGAUAUUACACAGAACACCGAUUGCGAAGGCAGCUUACUAAACUAUGAUUGACGCUGAGGUACGAAAGCGUGGGGAGCGAACAGGAUUAGAUACCCGAGUAGUCC